UACGUAGGAGGCGAGCGUUGUCCGGAUUUACUGGGCGUAAAGCGCGUGUAGGCGGUUCGAUUAGUCUGCUGUGAAAGCUCCCCGCUUAACGAGGAGAGGUCGGUGGAUACUGUCGGACUUGGAGGACGGUAGAGGGGGGUGGAAUUCCCGGUGUAGUGGUGAAAUGCGUAGAUAUCGGGAGGAACACCCAGUGGCGAAGGGCGGCCCCC
rnacentral:rRNA from 1 species